GCGACUGCUCCUUGGAGCAAUACACCUGACUGUCCCAGCCGUUGGAGAGAGCCCAAUGCUGGUAGCCUUCGACGGGGAUGAGCGCAUCGUGACGCGGCUCCGGGUGCCCGCUGAUCCCAGGCACCACCGACACGUCCAGACAUGGGUUUCUAUGCCCAGUUGACCUCAUUAAUAGAGUCACCAGAGUCACCCUUUUCCAGAGCGCAUCUCCAUGGAAUUGAGCCAAGUUCCCUUUCAGCACAGGGCCUCCCUGAGGAGAAGAGACAGCACACAGGCGGGGCCACGCAGUAGCACCAGGCUACGGACCCACUGGAUCCCUCAAACCUGAGAGCAAAUGCCAAGUCUGUACUGAGAUGUGGGCCACUGGCCACCUCCCUUCUCCAGAUAUGGAGACGAUGGUAUUUGACGAUGGAGAGCGCCCUGGUGUUGGGGCAUGAUGCAGCCAAAAUUUAGCAACGAGAGGAGAGGGAACCAAAGUCUCCUUCAUCAAGAAGACCAGCCAGGAAAGAUGUAGCGCCCCCAGCCCCGACUUGGGGGUGUGGGAAGGCUGGAGGAGGGGAAAGUUCAGGGCUAAGGGCGUUGAAAGCAUCUGGAGACGUGUCCGCAUACUCUGAACGAUUCCCGGUCCUUUCGCUGGGUUCCCCGAGACAGUCCGCGCCUGAAACCGGCUCCACCACAGGGGCGCACCGGGAGCUGGGAAGGAGGUGGCAGUGCAGGAGCCUUUGGCGGGUGGGCGGCCGAAAGUAAAGCCUGGUUGGUUAAUUAACUUUAAGCCUGGGGUCUCUUCUCUCUCUCCCCCCGAAAAAAUGUGGAUCUCGCUGAGACACAAAUAAAACCAAAUUAAACACUCCAGGAGAAUAUGCACCACUGGAAACGUAGUAAUUACAUCUCCGAGGCGAACCCGCCCUAGGAAGCCGGGCGCUGAAACCCGCGGCCCAGCGCUCGCCCCCCACCGCCCCGCCACACCUCACCGGCCGGGCUUCGCGGAUGGGGCGCUGAAGCUUGACUGUGGGGGAAGUUUAGAGAAAAUCAAGAGAAAGGAAAAGGAUUGUGACUCCUUGGUCUCUAGCUGAGCUGCUGGUGUGGGAGUGAAGACGCAGCAUUUCAUUAUAUCAAAGGAAAAUGGAAAAUAACCCUUCAGCCACCUCGGGAAGACCGGGCUCUGCUCUGGGCUCUGGGCUCCUUUCUCAAAAGGGUACUUGCAAAGGCUAGACGGCGGAGCCUCUCUGUCCUUAGCUUCCUCUCCGAACGAGUUCCAGGCUAAGUUCAACUCUGAAAUUCUUCUUUUGUGAGUGUCCAACAUACAAAGGAGAUAUUCAGCGUGCCUUCUCACUGAAAGUGUGUGUGUGUGUGUGUGUGUGUGUGUGUGUGUGUGGGCUCCUAGCCUGUGGAUUUGGGAUGGUGUGCAGGCUGCCGGCACUGUCCCAGCACAUACCCUUGUGGACACAGCCCAGUGUGUUCCUGAAGAUACCCGGUUCUAGGCUGACAUCCUCUCUUUGCAA